rnacentral:rRNA from 1 species
UACGUAGGGGGCAAGCGUUGUCCGGAAUUAUUGGGCGUAAAGAGCGUGUAGGCGGUCCGGUAAGUCAGCUGUGAAAGUCAAGGGCUCAACCCUUGAAAGCCGGUUGAUACUGUCGGGCUAGAGUCCGGAAGAGGCGAGUGGAAUUCCCGGUGUAGCGGUGAAAUGCGCAGAUAUCGGGAGGAACACCAGAGGCGAAGGCGGCGAACUGGACAGUAACUGACACUCAACUGCGAAAGCGUGGGGAGCAAACAGG